rnacentral:rRNA from 1 species
CCUGGCGGCAAUAGCGCGGUGGUCCCACCUGACCCCAUGCCGAACUCAGAAGUGAAACGCCGUA